AGCCCAUGUCGAGCAGACCAGAAUUCCCCCGGGGCCGGACGAGCCGGGCAGCCCUCGUCUGAGACAGCGGGUCUGCACCAGGGGACGCCUCGGGUUUCUGGAGGCAGCAGCCAACUCCAUCGGCCCCUGUGCGCGAUGGCGGAUCCCAGGUCCCACGGCUGGGGUCCAGUGAGAGGUCAAAAGGUCACUUGGUUCAGUCCCCUGCCCAAGGCACGUUUCCCACGGCCAACAGGACUCAUGCGCUUCAGUGCGCAAGGGCCCCUUCGGGAACCAAGGGAGAGGAGGUGGCCCCCACAGCUGUGUUGGUCUCUGGGCCUCCGUGUCCUGUGGGCUUUGAGCACCUGGGCGUGGGGAAUGUCCACGUGGCCGAGAGCCACAGCCCAGACCCCCCAGGCCAGCGACACCCCAAGCCCACCGAGCACGCCUCACACUUGCUACGUCUGGGACAGCACACACGACAUUUCAUCCCGUGUACCCACAGGGUGACCAUGAUCCUACUGGGCAGGGGCUGAGCGCGGGGCUCUCCUCUCCUGCCCGAGUCUCAGAGACCUGUUCUUGGAGGUCUCUGAAUCCAGCUUAUCCACUGCUGGACAGUGGGUGGCGAAGAGUGGCCCAGGUGACAUGGCCAGCAAAGGGGGUCAGGAUGGCAGCUCAUAUCCCCAAACCCCAAGUGCCCCACCAGGCCCUUCCUGCCCGCUGUGUACUGUUCCUGGCGCAGUCUACCCUGUUCUGGUCCGUGGUGCUGAGGCGAUGUCUUGCCGCCAGCGUCCCGUCCUCCCUCCCCGGUGAGGAGGGCCAGCAGCCGCUCUCUGCCUGCCACAGACACAAGGAAAGCUGCUCUUCAGAGAGGUGAAGGUGUGGAGGACCCUGGGGUGCUCCUGCUGUGGACAGGAAGGAACCCCAGAGAUGGGGCCAAGCCCAAGCAUGAGUGGGAGCCCAGGGGACUGUGCAGGGGUGCUACCUGCCCCAGGGGUCCCUGGGCGAGUCGCUGUGUGGUGAUGGACCUCUUGGUGGGGCUCAGGUAGGUGGAAGAUGAGCAGCCACACAGGGAAUAGCAUGCAGCCCUGAAAAGAAGAGAGCCCUCCUUUUACAGUGACGGGGAGCGGCCACUGAUAAACGAGGAACAGGGUGCACCUCAGGGUGUUCCCUGGGUGUGCACGAGUAUGUGCACAGGUGCUGGUGUGCAUGUGUGUGCAAGUAGAUUCACGAGCACAUACAAGGAUGCCCUUAAGCACCUCUAGGCAGAUAAUCAUAACUUACAUGCUAAGAAGGGCCCAGACACUGGCAGCCUGGGGAGGUGACCAGGGACAGGUGUGUGGGAGGGAUUCUUACUCCAAGGAGAAAACUGAACCAUUGUUCUCUCGGGUGACAGGCAGACCCUGUUCCC
rnacentral:lncRNA from 1 species